rnacentral:rRNA from 1 species
AUUGAACGCUGGCGGCAGGCCUAACACAUGCAAGUCGAACGAGUGGCGGACGGGUGAGUAAUGUCUGGGGAACUGCCUGAUGGAGGGGGAUAACUACUGGAAACGGUAGCUAAUACCGCAUACCAUCAGAUGUGCCCAUAUGGGAUUAGCUAGUUGGUGGGGUAACGGCUCACCUAGGCGACGAUCCCUAGCUGGUCUGAGAGGAUGACCAGCCACACUGGAACUGAGACACGGCCCAGACUCCUACGGGAGGCAGCAGUGGGGAAUAUUGCACAAUGGGCGCAAGCCUGAUGCAGCCAUGCCGCGUGUAUGAAGAAGGCCUUCGGGUUGUAAAGUACUUUCAGCGGGGAGGCGUUACCCGCAGAAGAAGCACCGGCUAACUCCGUGCCAGCAGCCGCGGUAAUAC